UACGGGGGGGGGCAAGCGUUGUUCGGAAUUACUGGGCGUAAAGGGCUCGUAGGUGGCCAACUAAGUCAGACGUGAAAAUCCCCCAGGCUCAACUUGGGAACUGCAUCCGAUACUGGCGGGCUUGAAUCCGGGAGAGGGAUGUGGAAUUCCAGGUGUAGCGGUGAAAUGCGUAGAUAUCUGGAGGAACACCGGUGGCGAAGGCGGCAUCCUGGACCGGUAUUGACGCUGAGGCGCGAAAGCUAGGGGAGCAAACGGG
rnacentral:rRNA from 1 species